rnacentral:ncRNA from 1 species
UUCUUAAAAGUGCAAUAAAUACUACGUAGGUAUAUUUUGAUAGCAGCGACAUCAUACAAUCAAUAUUGAAGAAAUCAAAUCAACAGCUGGAAACGGCUGCUAAUACCCGUAGGCUGAGGAGCAAAAGGAGGAAUCCGCCCGAGGAGGGGCUCANUUGAUUAGCUAGUUGGUGAGGCAAUAGCUUACCAAGGCGAUGAUCAGUAGCUGGUCCGAGAGGAUGAUCAGCCACACUGGGACUGAGACACGACCCGAUAAUGUAGCAUUAAAUAAUGAUGAAUAACAAUAAAUUGUUAUGA